rnacentral:rRNA from 1 species
AUGAUUUCCCUAGUAACGGCGAGUGAAGAGGAAAGAAGCUCAAAGUUGGAAUCCGGCUGCCUUAGGUAGUUGGAAUUGUAAACUGGAGAGGUGUUUUCCAGGCGAGCCGAGCAAAUAAGUCCUUUGGAACAGGGCAUCAUAGAGGGUGAGAAUCCCGUCUUUGGCUUGAGCAUUGCCUUUUGCGAUACACUUUCAAAGAGUCAGGUUGUUUGGGAAUGCAGCCUAAAUUGGGUGGUAAAUCUCACCUAAAGCUAAAUAUUGGCGAGAGACCGAUAGCGAACAAGUACCGUGAGGGAAAGAUGAAAAGAACUUUGAAAAGAGAGUUAAACAGUAUGUGAAAUUGUUGAAAGGGAACCGUUUGGAGCCAGACCGGCUGUUCUAUAAUCAAUCUCUGCUUCGGUAGGGAUGCACUUGUAGGGCUUUAGCCUGCCAACAGCAAUUUUCUUUGGUGGAAAAAACUAGGAGGAAUGUGGCCCCUCGGGGUGUUAUAGCCUCUUAGAAAAUACACUGAAGGGGAUUGAGGACUGCAGCAAAUGCUUUUGGCGAAAUAACUGGGCGCUUGCGUUAAGGAAGUAUAGAAUUUCUGCUUCGGGUGGUGCUAUGCUCUAAGAUGCAACUCGUUUAGACUAUUUUCUAUUUGCUUAGGUUGUUGGCUUAAUGACUCUAAAUGACCCGUCUUGAAACACGGACCAAGGAGUCCAUCAUAGGUGCAAGUCUUUGGGUUAAAAACUCAUGGGCGCAAGGAAACUGAUGGAUACGAAGGCUUCACGGCUGGCAGUAUCGUCCGGCAAUGACGUUUUAUACAGACUUGACCGAGAUAAAGCACUUAUGCUGGGACCCGAAAGAUGGUGAACUAUGCCUGAAUAGGGUGAAGCCAGAGGAAACUCUGGUGGAGGCUCGUAGCGAUUUCUGACGUGCAAAUCGAUUCGUCAAAUUUGGGUAUAGGGGCGAAAGAC